rnacentral:miRNA from 1 species
GCAACCGCUUCCAGCCCGGCA